rnacentral:tRNA from 1 species
GGGCUCGUAGUAUAGUGGUAGUACAGUACGUUCGCAAUGUACGGACAGGGGUUCGAUUCCCCUCG